ACAGUACUCAACAGUAUGGGUGUUGACAACACCGGAAUAUCCUGUCAAAGGAUGAGGCUAAAAUUAGAUUUCACUUCCUGGUUGGUCGGACUGCCUUCAAUCGAAAGGAGUACAUGACAUACGUUAUGAAUGACACUCGAUGAUGGAAAUGGUGAUUCUAAUUGGAGGAACUUUGUUGGUGACACUGUUGUCUCAUGUUGGAGGUCAGACAGUGUCACUACAAGGAUCUUC
rnacentral:lncRNA from 1 species